AAAAGGUUUAGCGGGUUAUGGAUGGGGAUGCGUCUGAUUAGCUUGUUGGCGGGGUAACGGCCCACCAAGGCUACGAUCAGUAGGGGUUCUGAGAGGAAGGUCCCCCCACAUUGGAACUGAGACACGGUCCAAACUCCUACGGGAGGCAGCAGUGAGGAAUAUUGGUCAAUGGGGCGAGAGCCUGAACCAGCCAAGUAGCGUGCAGGAUGACGGCCCUAUGGGUUGUAAACUGCUUUUAUGUGGGGAUAAAGUGCGUGACGUGCCAUGCAUUGCAGGUACCACAUGAAUAAGGACCGGCUAAUUCCGUGCCAGCAGCCGCGGUAAU
rnacentral:rRNA from 1 species